CCAAAAUUGGACUAUACAUAAUUGGAAAACAACUGUAUCAGAUUUACAUCCUGCAAAUUUAUUCAAGCUGCCAACAACUCCAAAGGCCACAUAUUUAAACUGGUUAUUUUUUUUUCUGAACCUCCUUGCAGUUAGAAGCAAAGCAAUCUUUCUAUUACCUUUUCAUGGAAAAACACCCUGGAAGGUAUCCUUCAACAAUUGCUUCAGUAUCUAAAACAUGUUGCUGUUCAGUUGGGGAAAAUUUCAAAUCCUUUGAUGCAGCAGGAAAUACGGCUGCAGUCUCUUGUUCCACUUGUUGCUGUGAUCAUUGAAUAAACAAUAAAAGUUUGACUAUAUUCAUCAAGUAUAAUGCAAUUACACAGAAGUUAAAUAAUAAACUUAUAUAAAGCCAAAA